UACGGAGGGAGCUAGCGUUGUUCGGAUAUACUGGGCGUAAAGCGCACGUAGGCGGCUCCGUAAGUCAGGGGUGAAAUCCCGGAGCUCAACUCCGGAACUGCCCUUGAAACUGCAGUGCUAGAAUCUUGGAGAGGCGAGUGGAAUUCCGAGUGUAGAGGUGAAAUUCGUAGAUAUUCGGAGGAACACCAGUGGCGAAGGCGGCUCACUGGUCCAGUACUGACGCUGAGGUGCGAAAGCGUGGGGAGCAAACAGG
rnacentral:rRNA from 1 species